UCUUGGUCAUUUAGAGGAAGUAAAAGUCGUAACAAGGUUUCCGUAGGUGAACCUGCGGAAGGAUCAUUAAAGAAAUUUAAUAAUUUUGAAAAUGGAUUUUUUUGUUUUGGCAAGAGCAUGAGGGCUUUUACUGGGCAAGAAGACAAGAGAUGGAGAGUCCAGCCGGGCCUGCGCUUAAGUGCGCGGUCUUGCUAGGCUUGUAAGUUUCUUUCUUGCUAUUCCAAACGGUGAGAGAUUUCUGUGCUUUUGUUAUAGGACAAUUAAAACCGUUUCAAUACAACACACAGUGGAGGUUUCAUAUCCUUGCAACUUUUUCUUUGGGCAUUCGAGCAAUCGGGGCCCAGAGGUAACAAACACAAACAAUUUUAUCUAUUCAUUAAAUUUUUGUCAAAAACAAGAAUUUUCGUAACUGGAAAUUUUAAAAUAUUAAAAACUUUCAACAACGGAUCUCUUGGUUCUCGCAUCGAUGAAGAACGCAGCGAAAUGCGAUACGUAAUGUGAAUUGCAGAAUUCCGUGAAUCAUCGAGUCUUUGAACGCACAUUGCGCCCCUUGGUAUUCCAGGGGGCAUGCCUGUUUGAGCGUCAUUUCCUUCUCAAACAUUCUGUUUGGUAGUGAGUGAUACUCUUUGGAGUUAACUUGAAAUUGCUGGCCUUUUCAUUGGAUGUUUUUUUUCCAAAGAGAGGUUUCUCUGCGUGCUUGAGGUAUAAUGCAAGUACGGUCGUUUUAGGUUUUACCAACUGCGGCUAAUCUUUUUUUAUACUGAGCGCAUUGGAACGUUAUCGAUAAGAAGAGAGCGUCUAGGCGAACAAUGUUCUUAAAGUUUGACCUCAAAUCAGGUAGGAGUACCCGCUGAACUUAAGCAUAUCAAUAAGCGGAG
rnacentral:rRNA from 1 species